GAUGAACGCUGGCGGCGUGCCUAAUACAUGCAAGUCGAGCGAACGGACGCGAAUCUUGCUUCUCUGAUGUUAGCGGCGGACGUGUGAGUAACACGUGGAUAACCUCCCUAUAAGACUGGUAUAACUUCGGGAAACCGGCGCUAAUCCCGGAUAAUCUUUUGAACCGCAUGGUUCAAUAGUGAAUGACGGUCUUGCUGUCACUUCUCGCUGCUUCCGCGCUGCAUUAGCUAGUUGGUAAGGUAACGGCUUACCAAGGCAACGAUGCAUAGCCGACCGGCGAGGGGGAUAGGCCACACUGGAACUGAGACACGGUCCAGGCUCCUAAGGGAGGCAGCAGUAGGGAAUCGGCGGCAAUGGGCGAAAGCAUGGCGGAGCAACGCCGAGUGAGUGAUGAAGGUCUUCGGAUCGUAAAAAUCUGUUAUUAGGGAAGAACAGAUGUGUAAGGAACUGUGCACAGCGUGACGGUACCUAAUCAGAAAGCAACGGCUAACUACGUG
rnacentral:rRNA from 1 species